rnacentral:rRNA from 1 species
UUGAACGCUGGCGGCAGGCCUAACACAUGCGAGUCGCGCGGAUGAAGGGAGCUUGCUCCUGGAUUCAGCGGCGGACGGGUGAGUAAUGCCUAGGAAUCUGCCUGGUAGUGGGGGAUAACGUCCGGAAACGGGCGCUAAUACCGCAUACGUCCUGAGGGAGAAAGUGGGGGAUCUUCGGACCUCACGCUAUCAGAUGAGCCUAGGUCGGAUUAGCUAGUUGGUGGGGUAAAGGCCUACCAAGGCGACGAUCCGUAACUGGUCUGAGAGGAUGAUCAGUCACACUGGAACUGAGACACGGUCCAGACUCCUACGGGAGGCAGCAGUGGGGAAUAUUGGACAAUGGGCGAAAGCCUGAUCCAGCCAUGCCGCGUGUGUGAAGAAGGUCUUCGGAUUGUAAAGCACUUUAAGUUGGGAGGAAGGGCAGUAAGUUAAUACCUUGCUGUUUUGACGUUACCAACAGAAUAAGCACCGGCUAACUUCGUG